GAUGAACGCUGGCGGCGUGCCUAAUACAUGCAAGUCGAGCGAACGGACGAGAAGCUUGCUUUUCUGAUGUUAGCGGCGGACGGGUGAGUAACACGUGGAUAACCUACCUAUAAGACUGGGAUAACUUCGGGAAACCGGAGCUAAUACCGGAUAAUAUUUUGAACCGCAUGGUUCAAAAGUGAAAGACGGUCUUGCUGUCACUUAUAGAUGGAUCCGCGCUGCAUUAGCUAGUUGGUAAGGUAACGGCUUGCCAAGGCAACGAUGCAUAGCCGACCUGAGAGGGUGAUCGGCCACACUGGAACUGAGACACGGUCCAGACUCCUACGGGAGGCAGCAGUAGGGAAUCUUCCGCAAUGGGCGAAAGCCUGACGGAGCAACGCCGCGUGAGUGAUGAAGGUCUUCGGAUCGUAAAACUCUGUUAUUAGGGAAGAACAUAUGUGUAAGUAACUGUUCACAUCUUGACGGUACCUAAUCAGAAAGCCACGGCUAACUACGUG
rnacentral:rRNA from 1 species